rnacentral:rRNA from 1 species
UGCCAUAGCCAAAUUACCCUGCAACCAAAGACCCACAGUUAAUCACUGAAGCUAAGCAGGACUGAGUCUGGUCAGUACCAGGAUUACACAUGGGAAAACUAGGUUGCUGUUGGAA